UACAGAGGGUGCAAGCGUUAAUCGGAGUUACUGGGCGUAGAGCGCGUGUAGGCGGCAGCGCAAGUCGGGCGUGAAAUCCCACGGCUCAACCGUGGAAGUGCACUCGAAACUGCGCAGCUAGAGUCCUGGAGAGGAAGGUGGAAUGCUUGGUGUAGAGGUGAAAUUCGUAGAUAUCAAGCGGAACACCGGUGGCGAAGGCGGCCUUCUGGACAGUGACUGACGCUGAGACGCGAAAGCGUGGGGAGCAAACAGG
rnacentral:rRNA from 1 species